GUCGAACGGUAACAGGAUUAGCUUGCUAAUCGCUGACGAGUGGCGGACGGGUGAGUAAUGCUUGGGAACUUGCCUUUGCGAGGGGGAUAACAGUUGGAAACGACUGCUAAUACCGCAUGAUGUCUACGGACCAAAGGGGGCUUCGGCUCUCGCGCAAAGAGAGGCCCAAGUGAGAUUAGCUAGUUGGUGAGGUAAAGGCUCACCAAGGCAACGAUCUCUAGCUGUUCUGAGAGGAAGAUCAGCCACACUGGGACUGAGACACGGCCCAGACUCCUACGGGAGGCAGCAGUGGGGAAUAUUGCACAAUGGGGGAAACCCUGAUGCAGCCAUGCCGCGUGUGUGAAGAAGCUUCGGGUUGUAAAGCACUUUCAGUUGUGAGAAAGGUUGGUAGUUAAUACCUGCCAGCUGUGACGUUAACACAGAAGAAGCGCCGCUAACUUGCCAGCAGCCGCGGUAAUACGAGGGUGCGAGCGUUAAUCGGAAUUACUGGGCGUAAAGCGCACGCA
rnacentral:rRNA from 1 species